UUCCGGUUGAUCCUGCCGGACCCCACUGCUAUCGGGAUAGGACUAAGACAUGCUAGUCAAGCGCUUUCUAGCUAAUGUGAGAGCGCGGCGUACAGCUCAGUAACACGUGGCCCAACCUGCCCUUGGGACGGGAACACCCCCGGGAAACUGGGGUUAAUUCCCGAUAGGUGAAGAAGUCUGGAAUGAUUCUUCGCUCAAAAGACGUUUAUGUCAUGCUCAUAUUCGUCGCCCAGGGAUGGGGCCGCGACCGAUCAGGUAGUUGGUGAGGCAAUGGCUCACCAAGCCUUUUACCGGUGCGGGCCGUGAGAGCGGGGGCCCGGAGAUGGGCACUGAGACAAGGGCCCAGGCCCCACGGGGCGCAGCAGUCGCGAAAAUUUUGCAAUACACGAAAGUGUGACAGAGCUAUCCCGAGUGCCAUCCGCUGAGGAAGGCUUUUACCCAGUAUAAAUAGCUGGGAGAAUAAGGAGAGGGCAAGUCUGGUGUCAGCCGCCGCGGUAAUACCAGCUCUCCGAGUAGUGUGGACGUUUAUUGGGCCUAAAGCAUCCGUAGCUUGCUAGAUAAGUCCUCUGUUAAAUCCACCGAUUCAAUCGUUGGAUUGCGGGGGAUACUGUUUGGCUAGGGGACGGGAGAGGUCGACGGUAUUUCCGGGGUAGGGGUGAAAUCCUAUAAUCCUGGGAGGACCACCAGUGGCGAAGGCUGUUGACUAGAACGCGCCCGACGGUGAGGGAUGAAAGCUGGGGGAGCGAACCGGAUUAGAUACCCGGGUAGUCCCAGCUGUAAACGAUGCAGGCUAGGUGUUUGGGCGGCCACGAGCCGCCCUAGUGCCGCAGGGAAGCUGUUAAGCCUGCCGCCUGGGGAGUACGGCCGCAAGGCUGAAACUUAAAGGAAUUGGCGGGGGAGCACCACAAGGGGUGAAGCUUGCGGUUUAAUUGGAGUCAACGCCGGG
rnacentral:rRNA from 1 species